GGUACCUUCUACCAGUCAUCCAGUGUCAUUCAAAGUUACUAGAGCAGAAAUUGAAACCUUGAAGAAAGUGAUACAUUGUAUACAUGGUAAUUAACCAAUAGAACAUAUUUUUUUUUAAAGCUAUUCUUAUAUCAGACAACUUUCAUGUAGUUGUCAAAACAAAUAGAGAACUGUUAAUAAAUUGUGCUACUUUUAUUCUGUUGUUCAUAUUUUUUAAGCCUUUUUUCAACUGGACUAGUACUGAUCCUUUUAAUUUCUAUAAACACAUUGUAAAAGUACAUUAGAUUACAACUAGGCUGAAAAAGUUCAAUUUUAUUGAUAUGAAACUUUAACCAAUAUAUACAGGUACAAAUGUACAUGUACAUUGUAUACAUAGCAUUUGUUACUCUAUAUCAUAUAUGUAUAAGGUGAAUCAAUGUGCUUGUUACUUUGGAUAGAGUCUUAUGAAAUGGUGAAAAUCACUGUAUCCUGGUACACAGGUUUGUCAAUAAAUGAAAACUUAAAAUUAGCAGAACCAAUUGUAAUACUAAUACAUACAUUACAACAACACUUUAAAGAGUCAAUUUCUUUUUUGAAAACUUGGAUCAGAUAAAUAUAGAAAAAUAUAUAUACUACGGUAUUUAUCAAAUCUAUUCAUAAUUCUGAGUCUGACUGUCUUCUUUCACUUUUUCCUCUCCCAAAGCAAUAAAACAAAUUUAACCGUUUCAAGUUUCGAUGUCAAAUGCUUGUUUUAGUAAACAGGCGUUGAUGACAUUUGCUUCUUAUUCUUACAAUUAUUUUAAACAUGAUCAUACAUGUACCAUUAUUAUAAUACUUUCAUUUCUGUUUUGUAGAUUUUCUAGAGGAACUACAUAUUGAGUUACAUAACAGACAUAGAGCUAUCACAGACACAGUACACAUACUGUCUUGGAAGCAGCAUUUUAUAAGAUAUCAAUAAGACAGUGGACAUACUAAAUUGUACCCUUUUGGAUGAAUUAUAGCCUAGAGAAGAUCUGAUCUUACAUUAAGGACUGGGCCAUACAUUUUUUGCCCUAACCCUACAAGUGGUUUGUUUAAAAGGGACUGAAUUGGCUUGUGUGUCUGCAUCUUUAAAGAAAAAGACUUGAUUGACUAUCUGUAAAAAAAAA
rnacentral:lncRNA from 1 species